rnacentral:misc_RNA from 1 species
GAUGAAGAACGCAGCGAAAUGCGAUAAGUAAUGUGAAUUGCAGAAUUCAGUGAAUCAUCGAAUCUUUGAACGCACAUUGCGCCCGCCAGUAUUCUGGCGGGCAUGCCUGUUCGAGCGUCAUUUCAACCAUCAAGCCCCAGGCUUGUGUUGGGGACCUGCGGCUGCCGCAGGCCCUGAAAACCAGUGGCGGGCUCGCUGUCACACCGGGCGUAGUAGAUUUUAUCUCGCUCAGGGCGUGCUGCGGGUUCCGGCCGUUAAAAAGCGGAGGA